rnacentral:tRNA from 2 species
GGGCGCAUAGCUCAGCUGGCUAGAGCCACCGGCUCAUAACCGGUCGGUCGUAGGUUCGAGUCCUACUGCGCCCA